GGCGGCUCAAAUAGAUGGAUCGUGGAGUGACGUGGAUGUUCAUGAGGUAAUACACAAUACGACUCUGAAUGUGAUCCUGGACCCGGUUUACGAGGUACCUGGAUCCCACGUUAAAGAUCUUAAUGAAGGAGAGGUGCCUACAAAACAGAGGGGAGGAACUCAGACAGGAGGCUAUUGGAUAUACACCUGCCUAAUAUGCAGUUGGUCCUUUCGCAUACUGCCAGAACAGCGCCAACCCUCCAAGUCAUGGACUCUACAAGACCCCUGAAGGUCCUGUGGUAUCUGGCACCAAGAUGUUAGCAGCAGAUCCUUCAAGUCCUGUAGGUUGCGAGGCGGAGCCACCGUGGAUCAAACUUGUUGGUCCAGCACAUCCCACAGAUCCUCAAUUGGAUUGAGAUUUGGGGAAUUUGGAGGCCAGGGCAACACCUUGAUACUCUGACCCAGAUCCUUGUCUAAGUUGUUCAGAUCUUUAUUACUACCCAUUUCUCCUGCAUCAAACACAUUGAUUAUAAGAACUGAUUGUUUGCUUACCAUCUAAUCUACUCCGAAUCUGACCCCAAAGACCACAUUAGGUUUCACUUCACCUGUGACAGGUCAUAAUGUUUUAGCUCAUCAAUGUAUACCAGUAUUUCCACCAAUUUUGCAUUUUGAUUAAUUUUUUUAAACUGAAUAGAAUUUUAAUAUCACUCUAGCAUGACUUGUCAUCUUGUCAGUAUCUGCUAAGAUUUUAAUAUAGGUGCAUCCCUAUUGGUGUAUCCAAAAUGGCCAUUAUUCAUAUUCAUGCAUUUUAUUCAUAUUUCAUGUUAAUCAUUUGAUUUAUCAAUAUUAUCUUUAAUUUCAUAUAUCCAUGUAAUCCUACUCCAUAUAUUAAUCUUCAUCAUGUAUUCAAGUAUUUACUACACAUUUAUGCUUAUUUUUCAUUAUAUUUUUGUUUGAAGAGUA